rfam:Triticum aestivum genome assembly, contig: Triticum_aestivum_CS42_TGACv1_scaffold_576857_7BL
AAAUUACUUCCUCCGUCUGGAAAUACUUGUUGGAGAAAUGGAUGUAUCUAGGCAUAUUUUAGUUCUAGAUACAUCCAUUUUCAUCCAUUUCUUCGAAUUCCGGACGGAGGAAGUACUUU